UGACCAGGCUGGUCUCGAAUUCCUGACCUCAGGUGAUCCGCCCACCUCAGCCUCCCAAAGUGCCAGGAUUACAGGUGUGAAUCACUGUGCCCGGCCGGCACCUCAGCCUCCCAAAGUGCCAGGAUUACAGGUGUGAACCACUGUGCCCAGCCGGCACCAAAACUUGCACCUAUCCUAAAUAUGGAGCUUCAGUGCCGAGGCUGCAGGGCUGCUGUCUGCCUCUUUACCUGGCUUCUAGGCCGCCAGG
rnacentral:misc_RNA from 1 species